UAAAAACUUAGGGACAGGGAAUGGCGAAUAUCACUUGUAGAAUCAAAGUUCUUUAUUGUUUUAUUUUGUAUCUACUGAUGUGUAAUCAUGUGAAUGGUAUGCCUAUAAUAUGUCCAGGAGAUACUGUAUAUGAUGAUCAGCUGAAUACUUGUGUACAUGUAUGUGAAGACGGAUUCACAUGGCAAAAGGCGACCCUUACAUGCGUUAAAAAGACUGGUGUCUGUUGCAAUAGUGCACCAGGUGGAAAACGGUAAUAUCUAGUUCCAAGAAGAAUGACAAGAGAAAUUAUUAUUUACAAACUUUAUUAGCAUUAAAACUGUAUUUCUAAUUUGUUAGAAAGUUUUAUGCGAUUUAAACUGUAUGUCUUAUCUGUUUGAAAGUUUUUGCAAG